GGAGAUCUGGCUCAGUGGUUAAGAGCACUGACUACUCUUCCAGAGGUCAUGAGUUCAAUCCCCAGCACCCACA
rnacentral:tRNA from 1 species